AAUCAACGCUGGCGGCGUGCCUCAGACAUGCAAGUCGAACGUGAAAGUUCCUUCGGGAAUGAGUAAAGUGGCGCACGGGUGAGUAACACGUGGGUAAUUUGCCUUCGGGUGGGAAUACCAACCGGGAAACGGUUGUUAAUACCGCAUGAUGCAGCGGCUCGACAUCGGAGAACAGUUGUUAAAGCGGGGGAGCGGAGCAAUCCCGUCCUCGCGCCUGAAGAGAAGCCCGGCGGCGGAUUAGGAGUUGGUGAGGUAAUGGCGUCACCAAGCCCGCGAUCCGUAACCGACCUGAGAGGGUGGUCGGUCACACUGACACUGACAUACGGGUCAGACUCCUACGGGAGGCAGC
rnacentral:rRNA from 1 species